CAAGUCGAACGGGAUUUUCCGGGUAGCAAUACUUGGGAAGUCCAGUGGCAAACGGGUGCGUAACACGUGAGCAAUCUGCCGGGAAGUGGGGGAUAGCUCGCCGAAAGGCGAAUUAAUACCGCAUGUGGCCAGGGGGGACAUCCUCCCGAAGCCAAAGUCGCAAGACGCUUCCUGAUGAGCUCGCGGCCUAUCAGCUUGUUGGCGGGGUAACGGCCCACCAAGGCUAUGACGGGUAGCUGGUCUGAGAGGACGACCAGCCACACUGGAACUGAGACACGGUCCAGACACCUACGGGUGGCAGCAGUCGAGAAUUUUUCACAAUGGGGGAAACCCUGAUGGAGCGACGCCGCGUGGAGGAUGAAGGUCUUCGGAUUGUAAACUCCUGUCAUGCGAGAACAAGAAAGUGAUAGUAUCGCAAGAGGAAGAGACGGCUAACUCUGUGCCAGCAGCCGCGGUAAUACAGAGGUCUCAAGCGUUGUUCGGAUUCAUUGGGCGUAAAGGGUGCGUAGGCGGCGUGGUAAGUUGAGUGUGAAAUCCUGGGGCUUAACCUCAGAACUGCACUCAAUACUGCCAUGCUCGAGGAAUGUAGAGGAGAGUGGAAUUCACGGUGUAGCAGUGAAAUGCGUAGAUAUCGUGAGGAAGACCAGUUGCGAAGGCGACUCUCUGGGCAUUUCCUGACGCUGAGGCACGAAGGCCAGGGGAGCAAACGGGAUUAGAUACCCCGGUAGUCCUGGCAGUAAACGGUGCACGUUUGGUGUGGGCGGGUUCAGACCCCGUCCGUGCCGGAGCUAACGCGUUAAACGUGCCGCCUGGGAAGUACGGUCGCAAGAUUAAAACUCAAAGAAAUUGACGG
rnacentral:rRNA from 1 species